AUAUAGCUUUGUAUUGCAGUUGUUUUGCAUGAUCAUUCUUGAGUUCAGUCAUGGGAAUGCCAUGAGCUGGUCAUGAAUCUUAAGUGUGGCAUAUGAUAGGCAAAUUUUGAAGAGUGAGUAGGCACCAUUAAUAUGAAGUGGUCCUAAAAUAUGAAAAAGGAAUGAAAUUUAAAUAAUGCUUUACCCCGCUCCUAUGUUGUGUUUGUCUGGUUAAAUAAUCCUGAAUGAGAAUGUAGGUAGUUUUGUUUUAAACAGCAGCAGUUACUUUAUUCUGUAGGGUUUUGGAUAUGAUGUAGAGAGGAGAAAACCUAAUUCAAUGCAGGUAUUGUGCUUAGAUGAAAUAUUAAAUGCUCCAGACCACCUAAAGUCAAGAAUAGAACCAUUGCUUUUCAGAGGUGACUUUAGAGCAGAAAUAAUGUGAUUCGUGUCCACCCACUCUUGAAUACAAUUAAAUGAAGUAUAAAUGUUUGACAAAAUCCAUGUAUUGAACAGUAGUAACCCCCCUCAGUCUGCGGGGUAUUGCAUUGGUUGAGUUGAAAAUGAGGCGUUUUAAAGAAAACUUGUUUUAAAAUGACUACUGUCCACAGGUGUCAACAAAUGCUUGAUGCUUUACUGUUUUUUUGUUUGUUGGACUGAACCAAAAGUCUCAUGCAUGCUAAAGGAAGUGCUCUUUUGAGUGUCGUGUGGGAGUUAAUGGUAGACUCUUGCUCUCUCCUCAGUGUGUGAACGCUUCAGUAUACAAUAGUGAUUGUAUAAUCAUAUUUUGGGGCAGAGAGUGAUGUUGGGGUCCUAACCCUAGUUCACAGUGCAGCCUAAGUUACCCUAUUCCUUGUGAUCCUGCCUUAGCUUGCAGAGUCCUAAAGUUAUAGGAAUGAGCUCUUGACUAUACAAACACACACACAGGAUUUGGCUUUACAUAAUUUGUCAGGAACGUUCACCAGGGAGAAUAAUUUCAGUGUGUAAGGCACCAGGGGAGAUUUGAGUUCUUCCUAGACUCUUGGACUUAGAAAGUGUGUCUCAUUCCAGACUGAGUUAGCUGCUAUGCACAUUGAAAUUAAGUGUUAGGUAAAUAGGGAGGUCUUUGCAUGUAAUCUAGUGGGUCUCACCUGGAAAGCUUGGGCUUCUAAAGCAGUGAAUGGUUAGCAAAACUAGGCUGGCUUUGUUUUUUGUGGUGCUAAGGAUCCUAAACCACACUGCCCUGCUUCAGAUAACACCUAAUUCAGGAAUAUCAAGAAAGCACUUAAAAUGGUUCUGCUACCAUACCACUACUUGCUAGUUACUUUCUCAGGAUGAGUCUUAGAACUUGAAUGAAACAAUGAAUUUGGUUGCCUGAAGCUACCUUAGAGGCCAAGAUCUGUAGCUUUGUUUUUGAUCUUGAAAUGGACUCCCUUUGUACCCUAGGCUGGUCUUGAACUGGUGGUAAUCAUGUUUGAGACUGCCAACUGUAGUUGUAACAGCCAGGCUGUCUUAGACUCCCACCAUCAGCAUUUUAAGUGUUGAGUUACAGAUGUGAGCUGCCAUGCCUCACUUAAGAUCUCUAACUUUCACAUAAAGUAAUUGGAGGUGUUCUUCUGAGUUAGGUUUUCUUGAAAGAUGUCUACAUUAAAGUUCCUGUUAACUCUGGACAGGGAAAUGCCAAUUAAAAUAGCAAAAUGCUAA
rnacentral:lncRNA from 1 species